GCGGAAGGAGAUCAGGGGCUAUCGCGAGAGUGACCGCAGCGUGGGGACGCGGAGCUGCUGGUGUGGGCUGCCUGCCUGAGUGCCUGCGUGGAGUGGAGUGGAGUGGAGUGGAGUGGAUACGCCCACGGCUCAGCCUCCCCCUUUGCCGCGCAAUCACACGGUGGGACUCGCCGGAGGACGGAGACUGGCGGCGAACGGCUGCCUCCAUCCAGGGUCCAGCGGGGAGGACAUGGGCGCGUCUGGCCGGCCUCGGCGACGUUCAUCUGACAGGAUCGGCCAAAGGACAACGUGCCAAAAGAGCAGCCGCAGACAACCGCCAACAGCGGCUCUGGCAGUGAUCGCGCGGAUUCGGAGGGAGUAAAACCACAACUGGACAGGGGCCAGACUUGCAUGGGGGCCAAAUCCCCGUCCAAGACUCAGCGCGUCUCCUGCAUCUAACGCCUCCUCGUCUCCCAUUCGCCCUCUUCCACUCUCAUGGGAGUGACUUAGACGCCGGCGCUCUGUCCGCCCCAGGUCGGGAUGUCGUGGAAGAGGAACUACUUUGCGUCCGGCGGCGGGGUGCAGGGGCUGGCGACCCCGAGGACCAUGACCUCCAUCGCGCCCAGCAAGGGCCUGAGCAACGAGCCGGGACAGAACAGCUGCUUCCUGAACAGCGCUCUGCAGGUUUUGUGGCACCUGGACAUCUUCCGCAGAAGCUUUCGCCAGCUGACCACGCACAAGUGCAUGGAGGACUCGUGCAUCUUCUGCGCACUGAAGAGCAUCUUCGCCCAGUUCCAGUUCAGCAGCGAGCGCGUGCUGCCGUCGGACGCGCUGCGCAGCGCCCUGGCCAAGACCUUCCAGGACGAGCAGCGUUUCCAGCUCGGCAUCAUGGACGACGCCGCCGAGUGCUUUGAAAACCUUCUGAUGCGCAUCCACUUCCACAUCAGCGCCGAGAGCCGAGAGGACAUCUGCACGGCCAAACACUGCAUCCCACACCAGAAGUUUGCCAUGACUCUGUUUGAACAGUGUGUUUGCAACAGCUGUGGAGCCACGUCGGACCCGCUGCCCUUCAUUCAGAUGGUGCACUACAUCUCCACCACAUCCCUGUGUAACCAGGCAGUGAGGAUGCUUGAGGUCAGAGAAAAGGCUACGCCGGACAUGUUUGGGGAACUUCUGCGCAACGCCAGCAACAUGGGAGACCUCCGCAACUGUCCUAGCAACUGUGGCGAGGUGUUGCGUAUCCGCCGCGUGCUGAUGAACUCGCCGGAGAUCGUCUCCAUCGGGCUGGUGUGGGACUCCGACCACUCCGACCUGGCCGAGGACGUCAUCCACAGCCUGGGGACCUGCCUGCGCCUGGGCGACUUGUUCUACCGUGUGACAGAGGAGCGGGCUCGCCAGGCAGAGCUCUACUUGGUGGGCAUGGUGUGCUACUACGGCAAGCACUACUCCACCUUCUUCUUCCAGACCAAGAUACGCAAAUGGAUGUACUUCGACGAUGCCCAAGUCAAAGAGAUCGGCCCUAAGUGGAAGGACGUGGUGUCCCGCUGUAUCAAAGGCCAUUAUCAGCCCCUGCUGCUGCUCUACGCUGACCCCCGGGGGACGCCGGUGAUACUGCAGGAGAGCUCCAACCCCUGCACCGGCUCCAACCCUCAGCUGGAUCUCCAGCUCUGCAGCGGCAGCAGCAAGGCGAGCUACGACAGCGAGGACUCCGGUCGGGAGCCGUCCAUUUCCAGCGAUACCCGGACGGACUCGUCGACGGACAGCUCGAGUCACCGCGCCGCACGCAGUCGACCUCUGCACCAGUCCACGGGCAGCCACUUGUCCAGUGACUCUCAGACCACCGUGGUCUGCAACUACCAGCUCGGCACGCCGUCCCACGGUGCAGACGCCGGAGAGUCAGCAGUGGAGGGUCCACCCGGGCCCCCCACCCCUCCCCUGCAGGAGUACAAGGAGACGGCCGUCUUCCUGCUGUCGUCCCGCCGCCCGCUCACCUCCUCCUCGUCUUCCUCUCGCCCUCUGUCCUCCUCCUCCUCGUCAGGGGUGGGGGGCUGCGAGGGCGGGGUGGGGGGCCGUCACUGGGAGGAUGAGAGCACCAGCAGCGAGAGCAAGUCCAGUUCCUCGGGAGGCUGCUACCGGCCCACCUGGAGGCCCCGCAGAGAAGCCCUGAACAUCGACAGCAUCUUCUCCACCCAGAGGAUCUGCUCUCAGGGCUACCACACCCUGCCGGGCCCCAGUCUGCCUCCGCCCCCCCAGCCGCCGGUGCGGACCACCACGCCCACGCCGCGAGGCUCCCAGCAGGCUGCGGCGCUGGAGGCGAGGAUCGGGCCGACGGGUCCGCCCAGGUCGUCGGCCGGCCGACCCACCACGGGCCCGCCCGCCCCCCCGCCUCUGAGGGGGGUGGAGCACCAACCCCGCCUGAUCCAGAGGAUGGAGAGCGGCUACGAGAGCAGCGAGAGGAACAGCAGCAGCCCGGACAGGGAGGUGGGCCAACACAAGCGGGCGCUGAUGUCCGGACCCUCGUGGCGCUCGGUGCCCAAGUCUAAGAGCAGCGGUGCCAUCCUGCAGGAGCUGCCCUCACCUGGACGCCGGGGUCCCUCCAACGCAGAGCGCAGCGAGCUGGACGAGCUGCAGGAGGAGGUGGCGAGGAGAGCCCGCCAGCAGGAGCAGCAAAAGCGCAAAGAGGCGGAGCGAGAGGCGGCCAUGGGGUUCAACCCCAGACCCAGCAAGUUCCUGGACUUGGAUCAGCUUCAGCACCAGGCCGUGCACGAGACUAGCGCCCAUAGCGCCGCAGGGACCGCCGCGCUCAAACGCAGGCAGGAACAGGAAACGGGACGGGAGUCGGGAAGCGGCCGCCCGCCGGGGCCUCGCAGUGAACAGCCUGGCCCGGUCCAAGUACUGCUGACACCCAAUCAGGAGGAGUUCGAGGACCAGGCGUCGGCCAACCAAAACCCGCCCCCUCUUCCCCCUCCGCCCCCGCCCUAUCGGGCCCCCGCCGCUCCUCCCUGUCCUGCCGCGCUCACCCUCAGCAUCCCUCACCCGUGCGCCCCCUCCGGCCGGGGAGGGGGCGGCGACACGGGGGUGAGGCUGUGCGAGUUGCUGCAGGCGGGGGGCGUGAGCGUCAGACCCCUGGGAAGGCACUUGGCCAUCUCGCUACCGUCGCUCCCUUUGCGGUUUUGGGACGCGCCCGUCACGCCACCCCCACGACCCCCGCCUCCGGAGUCCCCCGGGCAAAGGAAACCGGCUUCCCCCCUCUGGCAGCCGCCCCAGCCGGAUCCCGCCCCGCAACCUUGGCGGCCCGCCGACAGCGCCACCCGCCAUUGGUCGUCCUGGAGUCUGGACCGGCCCGACGCCAUGGUGACGCCCUAUGACACGCCCCCGGACCACUGGGCUCCCAUCCCGCCUAGGCAGUGUGCCAGUCGACCCCCUUCUCGGGGGCACCACGGCGACCCCAGGAGCUGCGAGCAGGAGGAAGCGGAGUUGACGGAACUCGACACCCUUUACCAGGCCAGUCUGCAGGCGGGGAGGACAGGCUGCAGCCCGUCCGAGCGACUCAUAUCCAGGGUGGGCGGCCAGGCCCGCUCCAGAACCCCCAACGCUGACAUGGAGAGGACCGUGUUCGGGCCGGACGGCGCCAGAAGCCCCACCUACCUCAACAAGCCAAUGGUGUUGCAGGGUCCACGUUUGGGGGCGGGGCCCGACGAGGCGGGCAACCUGAGGCGAAUCGGACGCAGCCUGAGCGGCACGGUGGCGGCGACGCCGCGCCACGGCCGACUGACCGCCACCCGCAGCUUUGCGAAGCAGGCUGAUGCCAGUGCCUCCCAUUGCUUACUUCCUCUCUCCUGAGUCCCUGUCGCUAUCGCACCUCUAUCGCUUCCUCCAUCCUCUUCAUCACCAACACUUGUCAUCACCACCUCCCUCCACCGCCUCACAGGAGUUGUCGGGCGGCGCCGGGAGUUUCUGGCUGUGUCUGACGGGGGUCAAGCUGUCCUCCGCCGACCAGAGUCCCGCCCGCCCUCGCUGAUCCUCGGGCGCCAUCCGUAGCCCCUCCCAUCUUUCCUGCAAACGCCACACAAAAACCACACGCACGCACACACACCUGCAGCGACUGUAGAGCGUCCUCGCUGGGCCCCGCCCCCUUUUCCUGGAACCCUUUAACCCCACUAUUCUGUCUAUGCAGUCACCGCCCCCUCCCUCGCUCACCUGGCCCAUCCCGAUAGCCACGCCUCUUCCUGUUUCUUCACGGGCAUUUCCUGUCGGACGUAGCAGAGCUGAUUGUACAGAAUACAGGAAAUGUCGCCCCCUUUUUUUUCUUUCCCCCUCCGGCCAAUGACAGCUCCCCCCUGUUUCUAUACCUGGAUCUCCCACUUUGUUUCUUUUACUCCCCCCCCCCCCCCCCCCCCCCAAAAAAUGACCCAGUAGCGAGUGGGGGGAGAUUGUAAGGACGACGCUCUAGUGCACUUUGCGAGGAGACGAAGUGCACUUUUUUACCGAAGGACUGAAGGGAGGAAGAUUCACUUUAAAAAAAAAAAAAAAAAAGGUCUCAGGUUCUAAUCCGCGAUACACUUUAUACUCCCAGACAUGUUGCUUGAAAUGUGCGUUAGAGCUCUAUUUGCAGCCUGCCGCCUGAAAGGAUGUCAACCAUGUUGGUCACGCACACACACACGCACACACACACACACACACACACACACGCACACACACACACACACACACACACGUAUUUCUGACCUUCUUGAGACCGGAGAAAAAUGCCUACCUCUUUAGGACCAGCCUUUCUAGAUAUAUAAAGAUGCGUAUUUACAACAUUAAUAAUAUAUACAUACUAUGCAAAUAUAGAAAAAAAAGCUUGUGGUGAAAAUGAGUUGGAAUUUCACAGAAAAAACGUAAAAUUUUGGCGGUGUUAUGAUAAAAGUCUUCAUUUUAUUAAAGGCAAGUCCAAAUUUAUACAAGAAAAACGGAACAUUUGUGCGAUGUUACGAUAAAAGUCUGAAUUUUA